rfam:Cricetulus griseus cell line CHO-K1, whole genome shotgun sequence.
GGAUCUGGCUGUCACCCCAUUGAUUGCCAGGGGCUGGGUUGAAGAGGACGACCGAAUAGAGGAGGGCCUGUCUUCGGCCAAGGGUAUAUGAGUAGCUGCGCUCCCCUGCUAGAACUUCCAAACAAGUUCUCAAGAGGAUCCUGUUAAGUGUUUGCUCUGUAUAAAGUGUAGAAGACAAUUGUUGUGCCUGCUUUGUAGGCUUGUGAUAUUAU